GACGAACGCUGGCGGCGUGCUUAACACAUGCAAGUCGAACGGAAAGGCCCUGCUUUUGUGGGGUGCUCGAGUGGCGAACGGGUGAGUAACACGUGAGUAACCUGCCCUUGACUUUGGGAUAACUUCAGGAAACUGGGGCUAAUACCGGAUAGGAGCUCCUGCUGCAUGGUGGGGGUUGGAAAGUUUCGGCGGUUGGGGAUGGACUCGCGGCUUAUCAGCUUGUUGGUGGGGUAGUGGCUUACCAAGGCUUUGACGGGUAGCCGGCCUGAUAGGGUGACCGGCCACAUUGGGACUGAGAUACGGCCCAGACUCCUACGGGAGGCAGCAGUGGGGAAUAUUGCACAAUGGGCUGAAGCCUGAUGCAGCAACGCCGCGUGCGGGAUGACGGCCUUCGGGUUGUAUACCGCUUUCGCCUGUGACGAAGCGUGAGUGACGGUAAUGGGUAAAGAAGCUCCGGCUAACUACGUG
rnacentral:rRNA from 1 species